CAUUGUGAAAUGGAAUCUGAAGGAAGCUGGCAGCAAAAUCUCGGCUCUACGAACAGAAACCGAUUAUGAGGCUACCUAUGGUGGCCGAGUUUGCGAAACAAAACGAAGUCCUAUAACUAUCCGAACCCUAUGUAGUAUAUUCAGAGAGCAUAUGAGAUGAAAGCA
rnacentral:ncRNA from 1 species